CAAAUACUUUCCCAGCCAACCAAGGUUGAUCAUAACUUUCGGCGAAAAGAAAACAGAAAAGAAAAAGAAAAAAAGGUUGAUCAUUCAUUAAAAGUGAAUAAUUGCAUCUCAUCAGCAGAAGCUCAAGCUCUGCAUCGCAAGUGAGUAAUUCACUCCGUUGCCAUCAUCACGGGAGAGGGCUUCGAAUAUAGUAGAAUUAAGAUCAUUGUUCGCAGGAGAUGAUCGAUUGAGGUGUGUAGUGAUUCUAGGGAACUAGUGAUGAAACUAGGGUUUGUGAUCAAGGACCACCAUGAUUUACCGACACAAGCGCACCAGACGAGUGUUUUGAUCGGUAGUCGAGUGGGACGGCGAUGAACACAUCAUGAGGUAGGAAAUCUGACAAUUUCUUCCAAUUCGGUUCUUGUGUCUGCAAACCCUAGUUCAUCGCCACACAACUCAAUCGAUCAUCUCUUGCCAACAACAACAACAACAACAACAAAAAACUUUGGUGAUACAGUCACUUGUAAGGAAUUACAUGUUUUCUGUUAUUGCUACAUGUGAAUGUAAAAGCUCAACCUAGCAUUUAAGUGAUUACCUCUAUUUCAUCAUUGCCCUAGUAAGUAGCCUAAACUUCAACUUUUAUUUUUUAUUUGUCAAUUACUGUUUGAUAUUCAUCUUUGAAGAGUUACAAUUAAAACAUCUUAAUUAGUCUGUUAUAUAUAUGGCAUCACUUUGAGAAAACUGAUUUUCAAUUAUUUUUGUUGAAGAAGGAGGCAGACAAAAAUUAAUUUAUCCUGUGCCUUUUUUCAUUGUUAUGACAUGUAUUCAUUUUCAUAUUUCAUAGUUCUUUUGAAAUUGUUUUACUUAUUUCAACUAAAAUUCUGAAUAGAUCUCUUAGCUAUAUUUUGAGUGUACAUGUCCACAAAAUGUCUCUACCAACCAUACACCACAGCCAAAUUACAUAACUGCUUUCUAAACUUUGCCCUUUUCUUCAUCUUUUGUCUCUGAUGUCAACUUCUCAGAUUUCAGUAAUUUACACAGAAGUAAAAAACCCAUCUGGUUCUGUGCAUGGAGAUUGCUUCUGUUGCCGAAUCUAUUAGAGAGGGAAAUGUCGAUUAUGCAAAACGUGCAUUGAGGUGGAAAUCUUAAACAAAUUGAUUUCAAUUGGAGUUGAACCGUUGUUAAUUGAGGAUGCUUACUUUUAUCUCACUAGCCAUCCAGAUCCGAUAAGGCAAGAAAGAAUAUUUUGGUUAUGGACCAUGUAUAGCUUAUAGGUUAUUUUUUUGAGAAACACCUUAUGAUAUACACUAGGAAUGUUAUGGAAUCUAGCUUUUUUGGUGAAAUUUUUGUCAGGAAAAGUUAUGUAUAUAUUGGAACCUUUACAAUGCUUGGUUAUGGAAUCUAGCUCAUGAUCCCUUUCAAAAACAAAAUGAAAAUAAUAAUAAAUCUAGCAGGUGAUUUUUCCCUUGAUUGUUACUCCUUUUUUUCUAUCUCUAUAGUCUAAUUUGGUCUAUGCCAUGAGAUGUUCCACAAUAAUUUUUUUAUUUUUUCUAUGAUGUCAGGACUUCCCUUAAUAUCCUCAUUUUACCGGUUAGGUGUUUCAUGGUUCAACCUAAAAAUUUAAGUUAUUAGAUAAAAAUAACACACAACCCAUAUAUAUCCAUUUUUCUUCCCAUUCGGAUCUAAUAUGGGACACCUCUGAUAAGUUAGUAUUGAGGAAGGUUUUUUGUUCUUAAUUUUUUAUUGAAAAAUUGUGGUCUUCAAAAAAAAAAAAAAAAAAAAAAAAAAAAAAAUUAUUUAUUUAUUUAUUUUGAAUGGUAAAUUCAAUUGAAAAAAAACCCCAAAAAAGCGAAACAUGGCCUUUGGCCCAAGCAAGUUACAGAGAAACCCAUAUAAGUGGCCCAAAGAACUACAAAAAAUAUCUGUUGAACAGAAGAACAGAAUUACAACUCCGGUGAGGCUCAAGCAACAGACCACCAUUGGGGAUUUUGAAUUUAGGUUGAUAUCUUCAACAGUCUUGAUUUUUUUCUUCAUUAGCUUGAAGUACACAUCACUCACACAUUCAAUUUACUGAUCACUUGAGAAUUUCAACCCUAACCAUACACUAGACUACUACAAGGCUUAGAACAACCUUCUUCUGUUUUGAAUUUGGGCUUAGAACAACCUUCUUCUGUUUUGAAUUUGGGAGAAAAUUGAUUUGGAUGGUUGAAUGGCCUGGCUGGGCUUUAGGAUAGUCAGGGCUAAGUUUUGAUUGUUGUUGCAUUUGUUUGGCCCUAACUUCCUGUUGGGUCUCUCUUGCAAUUCUUCUUCUUCAAUAUAUAUUGCUUUAACUUUUUUUCAAAAAAAAAAAACACACAAUUGAUAAUGAAAAAGAAUUUUCGCUUGUUUUUAAUCUCGUAGUCAGGUAAUUAUAGAGAGAUUUUUUUUAAAAUUCAAUACAAUAUAAAUGUGCAAAAAAAUAUAUAUAAAUGCUACUAUAUAUAUUACAAUCAUCUAAACAAGCUUUUUCAUUACUAUUUGCUUUGAAAUAUUGUGCAACAAAUGUAGUUAUCAAACAUUGCUUCAAAAUAAAUUACAUCACAACAAAAACAUGCUUCUGCUCCAAAAUGUAAAACAGUGUGUGCCCAAGGGGGCACAAACCCUUGGCCUCGCCCAUGGCUAUAUAGCUAUUUUUUAAUUUAUAUAUAUAUAUAUAUAUAUAUAUAUAUAUAUAUGAAAAUUUUCUAUGUAAAGCCCCUGAAUUUUUUUAUUUUAUUUUGUUUUCGAACAGUAAAGCCCUGAACUUUUAAUUUCUAAAAUUAUCUCUUAAUUUUUUUUUCUUUUGUACACAUAAAAAUAAUAAUAAUAAAAAUAAAAAUCUCACAAAGGAUACCUCAUAGUAGCUACUCUAUGAGCCGGUUUGGGAUUGAUGUUGGAUAAAAAAAAACACUUUUAUCAAUAAAGCUAUCAAAAUAUUGCUUUUGGUAAGUUUGGUGACACUAUAAUAAGUAUUUUUCACAAUUAAAUUACUUUUUAAUUUAUUUGGUAACAGUUUUUUUUAAGACACUUCUAUUACUAAUUUUACAAUAAUAUCUUUUAAUACGAUAUAUUACCAUAUUUGACAAUAGUAAUUUUAUUAAACAAGUUACAUUAUAAAAAAUAAAAAGGACAAAAUUGUCAAAUGAAAAAUAAUUACCUUAAAAUAUACAGCCUCUACCCCACAAUUUUAAAAGUUCCAAAUUCCAGCUUAAUUCAAAACUACUAUUAAACUAAAUUUGAUAAUCAUUAAAAGCACUUUUAAUGAUUUACUAAGCACGUCUAAAACAAUUUUUUAAAAUAAAAAUCUUUUAAGCAGCAAUCACAAACGGGCUCUAUAUGUAAUCAAUGAAAAUAUUACUAUUUUUUUUUUUUUUUUUUUUUUAACACUCCGGAUUGAAAUCUUCCGCCCCUGUUGCCAAACGGGUCCAAUGACUAGGUAAUGAAGAUUGCAAGUAGUAAUAUCCAUUAAUGGUGUGCUGGACUUUUUCUUUGGUGAGAGGAUCUUGGUAGGCGUGCAGACGAUGAAAUCCAUCGAUUCGAUUUGGGAUCGAGGACUUUUUCCCGUGUGGUGGACUGGAAGGAGCUUUAUCUAUGGAAUCCAUCGAUUCGGAAGACGAUGGCUCUGUGGUGGCUCAUCUGAUAUUUGCUUUGUGGUGGCUCAUUUCGAUUCCACACCAGAGGAAAGCACCAAGAAUGUUGUUGAUGUCAUUGAUAGUCUUCUUCGGAAGGAUAAAGAUUCAUGUCCAGUAGGGCAGAUUCAGUAAAUUCAGGAACCUACUGUAACACAAUAUCCAAAAUGGGUUUGCCUUCUCUGGUUUACAAAAUUUGGUACGAGCGCAAUAGGAGAAUUUUCAAGAAGAAAUCACUUACUGCAAAUUCCUGAUUCACCAAACUCUGGAGACUGUUAGACAAGGAGACUGUUAGACAAGAACUUCUUUCAUCUUCCAUCAGAACUUCUCAAAAUGAUAGAAGGGUAAUUGAAGAGUGGGACCUCCCUCCGUCGACCAUCCGACCACCGGCGAAACCUCCUGACUGCUUUCACUUGGGAGAUUGUCUCCAUGCUCCGAUUUGGAUUGUGCUGUUGACCAUCAACGGUCUUCUGGUUUUUGCUUCUAUAGCUAAUGUUGUUGUUGUAUUCUUGGGCUUCGCCUUGAAGCCUGGGUCUCUUCAUGGUUCUAUUUGGGCCAACUUUGUACACAUCAAUCAACCAAAGCAGCCCUCUCUCUCUCUCUCUUGAAUCCAUAUGAAACCCUAACCCUCUCUAAGUCGAAGCACGAAUUUUUCGGGAGCUUCGUCUUUGGCGAGUUUCACCUUCAGAGGAAAAUUGCCCAGCAACAAAAGACACAGAAAAAAACCGUGGAAGAUACCAUCAUCUGUAGGCUGACCAGAAUUGAGAAUCUUAAUCUGACGAAUUCCAGCGUCCGACGAAGACCAGCGACCUGCGAGCAGCUACCGGCGAGCAGCGACCAACGAAGACCAGCGACCAGUUCUACUAGCGAGCGAGCAAGGACGAAUGUACCAUUUUAUAGUCGCCUAUUUAUGUCAUUGUAAUCUGAUUUCUGUGACUGUCCAGUAAAUUGCCCUCUUCUCUUCACCUAUAGUAUAGUUAGAUUGAUGAAACCGGACUUCCAUGAAUCAAGAUUGAAUAACAAACAAUCGUGUGUUAUGAAAUUGGGGUUAGUCUUUGACAGUGUAUUAUGAAAUUGGGGUUAGUCUUUCAAUUUGCCAUCUUGAAUUUUGACGUCCAUUCUCAGCAUAGAUACUCCUUUUGCUCGGGAUCCGAGAAAGUAGCCAGGGCACAAGUCGCGCGGAAUCCUGAUUCAUGGCGGGACUAGACUGCUGGAAGGAGGUAGGGCUUAUUUUAUCACAUUUUUCUCUUUAUUUUCACUUUCACCUUCUUUUUUAGUCUCCAUAAUUAAUUGAAGACUCAGAAGUCGAGCAAAUGGAAAAGAUGUAAGAGGUAACCUGUUAUUGAUUUAUUUUGAGAAGUUUAAAUGAACAUCCAAUAUAAAUUACCUCCCAUUAGCAUCCAAAACCUUUGAGGACUAUUCAAGAAUUAUUUAAUUUAGAUCGAAAUAGAUAUAUUGUUGCUUAAAAAUUAUUUAUUUUAUAUUGAAACAUAUAUAUUGUUGCUUAAAUUAAAUUGUUCAGAUUCACAAUCUUCAUCCUCUUCACUACAUUAUGUUGGGGAUGAUCUAAAUAAUCCUAAAUAAUAAAUUUCCCUGCAAAACCUAGCAAUCAGAAAUUGAAUAUGCAUCUACAAUCUGCCGUAACACGCGCAAUCUUCAUCCUCUUCACUACACUAUGUUCGAAAUUUGUGAAUUUUUGCUUAAACAUGACCUAGAAAAUGAAGAAGCUGAUGAACGAUUCUGUUUUUACUUCAAUUUCCUCAUCUAAUUCUGAUCCUCGUAACCUUCCAUAGAGUUCGAACCGUUCUUUGUCUUCUUCGUACCAAUUCUGUCUGUGAACAGAGAAUUUAGAAGCCAGCAAGUUGACGGCCAGGUGAGUUCGGUUGUUUCGCCUUCUUCAAAUUGUUGUAAAUCUACAUCUAUAAUCCAAGAAUAUAUUUAUAUAUGUAUCGUGUGUGAGUGUGUGUGAGAGAGAGAUUAUUUGGUAUAUUUACAUUCUUUAUGAAACAAGUUGUCUGAUUAUUUCAAUUUGAAUACAUUCUGUGAACCCAAAUAUUAUUAUAUAUUUGCACAUUUAUAUAAUGGAGUUUUUAUUUGAAAACUGUGAGCUUUCCAUCGGUGAUUGUUCCUUACUGUUGUUUUUCCACAUAUAGCAUCAGAAAAUUUUACGGUUCUCAUUGUGUUCUAAGUACUCUGUUAAUGGGUUGUAUGAAACUGCAAUUGAAAGCUGAAAUUAUUGUGUAUACUGCCAUAGACAAGUAAUAUUAUUUCUAAAAUUGUUAGUGUUAUAUCAGUGAGUACUUAAGUUUGAUAAUGGCAUCUUUUAUUAUGGUUGAAUUUCCGUUGAUCCAUCUAAAUUACACUUUUAGGUGCCUCCUCAAGAGCAUUGUUGUCGGUAUAAACAAAACAAUGCAUAGAAGAGAACAACCCAUCCAAGGAAGUACUAUAACAGUUUAUAACUGAUCCGAUUGCAACCAAAUUAGGAGCAGAAGGAUCAGAAUCUCCAUGAUUCCAGUCUACAACAAAGGUCAAGAGUAUUCUUCUUUUUCAUUGCUACUUUAUAGGAAAUUACGAUUUAUGUGUUUGGUUUGUUAAGAAAGUGAAAAUGAAAUAUAAAAUAACUUAAAAGAUUCUUGGUAAGAUAUCUUUUUAUUUUAUCCUCACUAUCAUAUUUUACCUUCACUAUCAUAUUUUAUCUUCACUAUCAUGUUUGUCUCUCUCCAACAAAUUAAUUGUACCCAAUUCUAUUUUCUCUAUUUACAGGUUCAAGAUUAUCAUUUUCUUUUGGGAUACCUGAGUGUGCUUCUUAGGGUAUCAGAAUAUGAUGACGGGCACUACAAUGAGGAUAUAAUGACAAGCAAAACACAAGUAGUGUAAUACUGACCAAUUGGGUUACCUAGAAGAGUGAGCAAUUGCCUUAAUAUUUUUAUUUUUUGUGGAUAUUGCUACUUGCCGGGUUAUAAUUUUUGUGGGUAUAUAUAUAUGUCAACAAUGAUGGAAUUGUGCAUUGAAAUCUUUGAUGAAUAUAAGACUUCUUCAAAUUUAUUUGUUCGUUAUUGUUGGGAUUUA